UGUCAAUUUAAGCCUUAGUGAGUAGUAUGAAAUCCCGAAAUUCCGCGUAGGGAGGUUGGUUGGGGUAGUUGAUGGGUCAAACAACACAUGAAUUUCACC